rnacentral:lncRNA from 1 species
UCCCAUAUAGUGGGGUCUGGGGAGGGUAGAGUAUACGCAGAUCAUACCACAAUCUCAGGUGAAGUAGAGAGGUUGUUUCUGAUAGAUCCCCGGUUUAGGACCAAUAGCAGUAUAACAAACACAAAACAUAGAUGUAUAUAAACUAGUACAAUAUGCAAAAUAAACUAACACCGCUAGCCACAAGAUAAUACUACAGCCACAAGAUAAUACUAAAACUAUCUAUCCGAAACCAUAAACAUCACUCAACACCACGAACAAGAAACUUCCGACACAAAUAAAGAACGGUCCCCUACUACUACCGACGCACUCCCACCCCCUAACCUCUGCCCUACUCCACGUCCUUCACAACUUGCUAUCAAGGGUCAUGUCCUCCGUAAGCUGUAGCUGCUCCAUAUCAUGCCUAAUCACCUCUCUCCAAUAUUUUUCAGCCUAACUCUACCCCGCCUAAAACCAUCUAUAGCCAGUGUCUCACACCUCCGCACUGGAGCAUCAGAGUCCCUCCUCAUCGCGUGCCCGAACCAACGUAACCUCACUUCCCACAUCUUGUCCUCCACCGAAGUCACUCCCACCUUCUCCCGAAUAUAUAUUAUUUCAUAUAGUAUGACCAAUAAUAUUCAUAUUCUCCAGUAGAAGAAAUAAGAGAAAAAUAUAUCUUAUAAGAAUAAGUGUUAAAUAAAAGACGACUCGUCGUCCAUAUAUAAAUUAUGCUCUAGCCAUAUCCUCCAGACUAAAAGGGUCCAUGCAUCCUGCUGAUUUUAG